GCGCGCCCCCAGAUUUAUUUUUAAUUUUUUUUUAUUAAUUUUGAUUAAUUGAAUUUUAGUUUAUUGAUUAGGGAUAAUUUUAAGAGUAUUAUGUAUGAUUAAAUGUUUUAGUAGUUAGUUUUAAACUAAAAUCAUGUCAAAACCAUUUUGCUGCGGAAUGGUUUCAGAGAUAUAUACUCCAAAACCAUUAGAUGUACUUAAUCAUGCUAAAACCAUUUUGUUGUGGAAUGAUUUCAGAGGGUUGUACUCCAAAACCAUCUUGCUGUGGAAUGAUUUCAGAGAUAUGUAUUCUAAAACCAUUAGAUGUACUUA
rnacentral:lncRNA from 1 species